CCCCUAGACGUUCUGGGCUGCACGCGCGCUACAAUAAUACGCACAGCGAGUAUCACCGAGCCCGAAAGGGCAAGGUAAACAAUAGAAAAGGUACUGUAAUGGUUAUAGAUCCUUGUAAUUAUUGAUCUUCAACGAGGAAUUCCUAGUAAGUAUGUGUCAUCAUCACGCACUGAUUACGUCCCUGCCCUUUGUACACACCGCCCGUCGCUCCUACCGAUUGAGUGAGCCGAUGAAACUGCCGGAUGUGGACUAUUCAUAGUCUGCAGAAGAUAUUUGAAUCGUAGCGCUUAGAGGAAGGAGAAGUCGUAACA
rnacentral:rRNA from 1 species